rnacentral:tRNA from 3 species
GCCCGAAUAGCUCAGUCGGUAGAGCAGGGGAUUGAAAAUCCCCGUGUCGGUGGUUCGAUUCCGCCUCCGGGCACCA